rnacentral:rRNA from 1 species
GAUGAACGCUGGCGGCGUGCCUAAUACAUGCAAGUCGAGCGAACAGACGAGGAGCUUGCUCCUCUGACGUAAGCGGCGGACGGGAGAGUAACACGUGGAUAACCUACCUAUAAGACUGGGAUAACUUCGGGAAACCGGAGCUAAUCCCGGAUAAUAUAUUGAACCGCAUGGUUCAAUAGUGAAAGACGGUUUUGCUGUCACUUAUAGAUGGAUUCGCGCCGCAUUAGCUAGUUGGUAAGGUGACGGCUUACCAAGGCGACGAUGCGUAGCCGACCUGAGAGGGUGAUCGGCCACACGGGAACUGAGACACGGUCCAGACUCCUACGGGAGGCAGCAGUAGGGAAUCUUCCGCAAUGGGCGAAAGCCUUACGGAGCAACGCCGCGUGAGUGAUGAAGGUCUUCGGAUCGUAAAACUCUGUUAUUAGGGAAGAACAAAUGUGUAAGUAACUAUGCACGUCUUGACGGUACCUGAUCAGAAAGCCACGGCUAACUACGUG